rnacentral:rRNA from 1 species
AUUGAACGCUGGCGGCAGGCCUAACACAUGCAAGUCGAGCGAGCGGCGGACGGGCGAGUAAUGUAUGGGGACUGCACGAUCGAGGGGGAUAACUACUGGAAACGGUAGCUAAUACCGCAUACUAUCGGAUAACCCACAUGGGAUUAGCUAGUAGGUGAGGUUAUGGCACACCUAGGCGACGAUCCCUAGCUGGUCUGAGAGGACGAUCAGCCACACUGGUACUACGUAACGGCCCCAACUCCUACGGCGGCGGCAUAGGGAAAGAUUGCACAAUGUGCGCAAGCCUGAUGCAGCCAUGCAGCGUGUAUGAAGAAAACCCUAGGUUUGUAAAGUAAUUUCUAUCAGUAGGCAUUACCGACAGAAGAAGCACCAGCUAGCUCCGUACCAGCAGCCGCGGUAAUUC